rnacentral:rRNA from 1 species
UAAGGGCGCACGGUGGAUGCCUUGGCACUAGAAGCCGAUGAAGGACGUUACUAACGACGAUAUGCUUUGGGGAGCUGUAAGUAAGCUUUGAUCCAGAGAUUUCCGAAUGGGGAAACCCAGCAUGAGUUAUGUCAUGUUAUCGAUAUGUGAAUACAUAGCAUAUCAGAAGGCACACCCGGAGAACUGAAACAUCUUAGUACCCGGAGGAAGAGAAAGAAAAUUCGAUUCCCUUAGUAGCGGCGAGCGAAACGGGAAGAGCCCAAACCAACAAGCUUGCUUGUUGGGGUUGUAGGACACUCUAUACGGAGUUACAAAGGACGACAUUAGACGAAUCAUCUGGAAAGAUGAAUCAAAGAAGGUAAUAAUCCUGUAGUCGAAAAUGUUGUCUCUCUUGAGUGGAUCCUGAGU